rnacentral:siRNA from 1 species
CCCUCUCAGAGAUGUCACCGGA